rnacentral:rRNA from 2 species
AAAGAAACCAACAGGGAUUGCCUCAGUAACGGCGAGUGAAGCGGCAAAAGCUCAAAUUUGAAAUCUAGCACCUUCGGUGUUCGAGUUGUAAUUUGAAGAUGGUAACCUUGGGUUUGGCUCUUGUCUAUGUUCCUUGGAACAGGACGUCAUAGAGGGUGAGAAUCCCGUCUGAUGAGAUGCCCAUUCCUAUGUAAGGUGCUAUCGAAGAGUCGAGUUGUUUGGGAAUGCAGCUCUAAGUGGGUGGUAAAUUCCAUCUAAAGCUAAAUAUUGGCGAGAGACCGAUAGCGAACAAGUACAGUGAUGGAAAGAUGAAAAGAACUUUGAAAAGAGAGUGAAAAAGUACGUGAAAUUGUUGAAAGGGAAGGGCAUUAGAUCAGACUUGGUGUUUUACGAUUAUCUUCUCUUCUUGAGUUGUGCACUCGUAUUUCACUGGGCCAGCAUCGAUUCGGAUGGCAAGAUAAUGGCAGUUGAAUGUGGCUUCACUUCGGUGGAGUGUUAUAGCUUCUGCUGAUAUUGCCUGUCUGGAUCGAGGGCUGCGUCUUUUGACUAGGAUGCUGGCGUAAUGAUCUAAUGCCGC